rnacentral:rRNA from 1 species
GACGAACCGUGCGAACGUUAUUCGGAAUCACUGGGCUUAAAGGGCGCGUAGGCGGGCUCAAAAGUCAGGGGUGAAAUCCCACGGCUCAACCGUGGAAGUGCCUUUGAUACUGUGAGUCUCGAGGGAGGUAGGGGCGUGCGGAACUUCCGGUGGAGCGGUGAAAUGCGUAGAUAUCGGAAGGAACACCGGUGGCGAAAGCGGCGCGCUGGACCUCUUCUGACGCUGAGGCGCGAAAGCCAGGGGAGCAAACGGGG